CUGUAGGUAAGGAUGAGGAAACUAAAUGACUCUACAGCAGAAGUGGAACCAAGCCUGGACCUCCACAGGCCAAGAAAGCAUUUCAUUCCUCACUGUCCUUCCUUUCUAGGCAUUAUCCAACAGGAUCCAGAAAACAGGAGCCAAAUCAACGCCCUGGGGCUGGUAUCUCAUUUCCUCCCAUGCACAGAAAGCAGUGCUCACAAAUGAACAGCCUCAGCAAUGCCACCAGCAGCCAGCCCCUUGACUGAAUGCACCUUGUGUUUCCAGAGGAGCCCACUGCUAAAUUUAAAGCAGGUUCUCUCCCCUCCUUUCAGAGCUUCUUAUCCAUAGGGAGAGUGGUGAUUUGGGAAGAGCACAUGGAACUGUGCUCCACCAAAAUAUAGAUCCAUCAGUGAAUAAUGACUGCUAAAUUUACUCAGUGCUUGGAAAUUCAAUUUGUACAGAUUAAGGCCUGGUUUUCCUCUGAGAAUUCAAGGAGAAGAGGGAAAGGAGCAGAAGAAGGGUUUGUACCAAUCCUUAUGAGUCUUGUCAACCAGCUCCUACCAGGAAACAUUUGCUCGCCCUCCAAGGUUCAUCCCUCCACCAGGACCCUGCUUACUUAUCACCUACAAUAGCAUUACCCAGACUGUAAGUCUUGUCUGCAGCACGAAGCCACCGCAUCCUCUUCCACUGUCUGCAUUGUCACAGAAGCAUUUUCCAUCAGGUACAAGCAGUAGAAAAUGCUGUAAUGGAUCCUGGUAGAAGAGACAAGAGACAAACUAUCACUGAGAACUCAUCAAUAGCAAAUGAAGUGUCUGCAGCUACCUAAAAGACCACCAACACCUCAAAUAACUCCACUGGGAUGGGGCACAAAGCCCCAGGCACUCAGGGAGUUGCAGGAGACAGUGUUAAGAGUAGUUAGUUCUGCCUCAGAAAGUGAGUGCUCUGUGGCCUCCUCCUCCUCCUCACUCCUGCUAGGUUUGGGUUUCAGGGUCUGCCAUACAAAUGUGACGUGGGAUCAGUCCAAAGCAUCCUUUUGCUCUCCUGAACCACUAUGAGCAACAGCCUAGGGGAGUUUGAGAGAGAAUUUGGGGCUAGUUCAGGCUUUUGAAGUGAACCAGUUUCAUCAACUGCCUUAUGACGAUCCCCUGACAAUCCUUCAUGGUGCAAAGAAUGGAGCUCAGAGACUCUGUGGCUUUACUUGUGCUGGCAACAGCAGGUAUAAAAUGAACCUCCGUGGCACACCAGGGUUGACACCACUGUGGUUUUACCUCUUUUAGUGCAGUUUUGGUCCUGUGGCCUAAGAGGGCCACACUCCAGGACAAACCUUGUGUCUCACAUUAGGUGACCUGCACUCUCAGAUUCACAUUGCUCGAGGAGCUGCAAACAGGAUUCAGACAGUUCCUCAAGGCCAGGUUUUCCUCCUCACACCCCAAAUCACAAACCUCGUGGGGUUUGAAGAGAUAAUGGCAGAAGAGAUGUGGUCAUUCCUACCUCUUCUCUCCUCCGUUAUUUAAAGAGGUGGAGAUGGGACAUGGGUGACUUUGACCAUGAACUCUCAUUGCUAGCAAGUACAUCCUCUGUCUGCCACACCCUUAGAAGGUGUUAACUCAAGUUAAUGACCUUAGCCAGCAAUCAGCAAUCACUAACAGGCCAAAGAAGCAUCCUGAUUUCCCUGUUUGGUAGCCUGAGUACAUGGCCCAUGCCUGAGUAAGCAGAGGAUGAAGUGUCUAACACAAGCUGAUCUAUACCGUGCAGAAGGCAGCUUAAAGAGCAUUCUUCUUCCUGGCUAUAGAUCCAUUUUCAGUGCAGUUCCUCUCAAGUCUUCCCUUAAGAAUCAAUUACAAGUGUCCUUACUCCUUAUCUCAUCCUCACUGUAAUUCUGUGGGCUCUUACCUGCAUUACCAGGCACCACUGUGAACAAAAGACAAGAGGAUGGAUCGCUACCUACAGGCAGAGGGAGCCCAUGGAGUAUCAUGUAAGAGGAGUAAAGUAAGUAACUGGUCUCAGGAAGGUAAUACCCACAUUAAAUUGUGAUGUGCAUCUAUUUCUAAGCAGAAAGUUUCUAUAAUUGCUUUAAAAUCUGCUUUUCUUUCUGAAAAAAAUCCUAUUCCUUGGCUUUAUCUCCUGAAAAACAAGUGGAUUAUAGAACAGUCCUGGAACUAAAGCAAAUCUAAAGGUAACACUCCCGAAUGUUCCUGCAACAAGCUAGGGAUGUGCACACUGUUCCCAACAAACUGUACACUGAGCAACCAGAGAGCCCUAAGAGGAAUA